UUGUAUUAAGAAACCCUCUUGCCCCAAGUCUUAAUUUCCUCUGCUCUCUCAACGAAGAACCCUCUUUAUAGAAGACGCUCCUUGGACUUCUCGAAGCUUCCUCUACGACUUAACAGUGAGACCACGAUCGGAUUCAAUGAAGGGCCUUAGCAAGAGAACUCGAAAGAGGAGGAACGCGCCUGGAAAACCCUAGGUUCGCGAUGAUACUCUAGGAGCGGAAAGGAUUCAAAGCGGAGUGAAAAAUAGGAAGAUUGUUCGGUGAGAAAUGCGAUUUAGGUCGCGUGUUCGGUGGAAAAGGACAAUUCAACGACUGAAUCGGUGAAACAGUGCCAAAAUGAGGAUGUAAUCGAUGGAAAAGGCUGUAACGAGGACAAAUGAAGUUGCAAAAUAUGAUUCGGUGAUGUCAAUCACGACGAUGAAGGCUCUGUGAGAGUGAUGAGGUGAGGACAUUCGCGAGCUCGAGAAGAAGCUAGGUUGAGGUUGUUGGACUCGUGAAAGCUUAAACCGUAGCCGCUGUGUGACCGGGCUAUUGUUCCAUAACCACCAUUGCAUCUUCUCACCUCCUACGAGGGUUUCCAAGGAUUCGAGAGUGGAGGCAACGGGAGGGGAUAAGUUGAGAGGGAAUACUUGAACUUCUACAAACAGAUCAAAGUUUCAUGUUAGCACUACAACCUGUACCAAUCAUAUGUUGCAUUCUUGAUAAAAGGAAAAGAAAAAAAUACAAAAGUGGGGGCACUAAUUAUGAAACCUUGAUUGAGAACUUGACAGUGGACGAUUUGGAACUUUUGUGGAAAAGAGUACUCAAGUAAUGAUUCUGUCACUUGAGACAACUUCUCUUUGUUUGUUAGACUAAGGCUUUGAUAUGAACCGAGGAUGGUGCAAAUGAUUAUGUGUUGAUUAUGAAAUAAAUCUUUCACUAGCUGGUGAUGGAUUUGACACUGUGAUCAAAGCCAAGGCUGCAGUCAACAGUGUACCUGGCUUCCAGAAUAAGGUUUCCUGUUCUGACAUUUUGGCAAUGGCAACUAGGGAUGCCAUAACUCUGCUGAACAGAAAAUGAACAUUCAGUUGGUUUCAAGCAGGAGGACCAUCUUAUGCAGUAGAGCUGGGAAGGCCAGAUAGGAAAGUUUCAACAAAAUUAUGUGUUAGACACCAUAUACCUCAUCCUGAUUUCUAAGACCAUAUUCUCUUGACAUGGCAUCUAGUGGUUCUGACCCACCUCCUCCACUCUCAGCACAAUCUAAAAGGAGAAGGGAAAAAGCAAUAUAUGGUGAAGUUGUUAUCAUGGUGAUGGAGUGCAACAAGAUCAACGCCCAGAUGAAGAAAAUCCUUAGUGAUUGAUUAUUAGGAAACUCUAGACCUGUCAUUCUAUGUUGUUUGACAUCUUAUGAAUUGUAAAAUUUAUAGAUUGCAUAUUAGGAAACUCUACACUUGUCAUUCUAUGUUGUUUGACAUCUUAUGAAUUGUAAAAUUUAUAUUGUUUUGCAUCUUAGGAGCAAUACAAUCUAUUUAUGAAUAUAUUAGAUAUUUUGUAAACUUAUUUUGAUAAUGGUUUUUAUGUAAUAUAUAUCUCUUUUAAAUGUGAAA